rnacentral:rRNA from 1 species
GACGAACGCUGGCGGCGUGCUUAACACAUGCAAGUCGAACGGAAAGGCCCUGCUUUUGUGGGGUGCUCGAGUGGCGAACGGGUGAGUAACACGUGAGUAACCUGCCCUUGACUUUGGGAUAACUUCGGGAAACUGGGGCUAAUACCGGAUAGGAGCUCCUGCUGCAUGGUGGGGGUUGGAAAGUUUCGGCGGUUGGGGAUGGACUCGCGGCUUAUCAGCUUGUUGGUGAGGUAGUGGCUUACCAAGGCUUUGACGGGUAGCCGGCCUGAGAGGGUGACCGGCCACAUUGGGACUGAGAUACGGACCAGACUCCUACGGGAGGCAGCAGUGGGGAAUAUUGCACAAUGGGCGGAAGCCUGAUGCAGCAACGCCGCGUGCGGGAUGACGGCCUUCGGGUUGUAAACCGCUUUCGCCUGUGACGAAGCGUGAGUGACGGUAAUGGGUAAAGAAGCACCGGCUAACUACGUG